GUCCAUGUAGCUCAGCUGGAUAGAGCAAUCCCCUCCUAAGGGAUAGGUCAUUGGUUCAAAUCCAAUCAUGGACGCCA
rnacentral:tRNA from 1 species